rnacentral:tRNA from 1 species
AUAAAUUGGUGUAAAUGCACAAAAAAUUUUGGAUUUUUUAGAUUUAAUUUUUAAAUUAAAAUUUAUAA